rnacentral:rRNA from 1 species
AACGAACGCUGGCGGCAUGCCUAACACAUGCAAGUCGAACGGGAUCCUGGUUUCGGCCAGGUGAGAGUGGCGGACGGGUGAGUAACACGUGGGAAUCUGCCUUUUGGUUCGGGAUAACCGCGGGAAACUGCGGCUAAUACCGAAUGCCCUCGCGAGAGGAAAGAUUUAUCGCCAGAAGAGGAGCCCGCGUCCGAUUAGGUAGUUGGUGGGGUAAUGGCCUACCAAGCCGACGAUCGGUAGCUGGUCUGAGAGGAUGAUCAGCCACACUGGGACUGAGACACGGCCCAGACUCCUACGGGAGGCAGCAGUGGGGAAUCUUGGACAAUGGGCGCAAGCCUGAUCCAGCCAUGCCGCGUGAGUGAAGAAGGUCUUCGGAUUGUAAAGCUCUUUUACCAGGGACGAUAAUGACGGUACCUGGAGAAUAAGCCCCGGCAAACUUCGUG